rnacentral:rRNA from 1 species
CAGUCACACGAGUUUGAUCCUGGCUCAGAACGAACGCUGGCGGCAGGCCUAACACAUGCAAGUCGAGCGAGGACUUCGGUCCUAGCGGCGGACGGGUGAGUAACGCGUGGGAACGUGCCCUUUGGUACGGAAUAGCCCCGGGAAACUGGGAGUAAUACCGUAUGGUGUCUUCGGACUAAAGAUUUAUCGCCAAAGGAUCGGCCCGCGUUGGAUUAGGUAGUUGGUGGGGUAAUGGCCUACCAAGCCGACGAUCCAUAGCUGGUUUGAGAGGAUGAUCAGCCACACUGGGACUGAGACACGGCCCAGACUCCUACGGGAGGCAGCAGUGGGGAAUCUUAGACAAUGGGGGCAACCCUGAUCUAGCCAUGCCGCGUGAGUGAUGAAGGCCCUAGGGUUGUAAAGCUCUUUCAGCUGGGAAGAUAAUGACGGUACCAGCAGAAGAAGCCCCGGCUAACUCCGUG